rnacentral:rRNA from 1 species
GAUCACUUAUUCRURAAUAAAUGUUUAAAUGUAAAAAAAGUUUAAUAAAUUUUUUAAUCACCCCAACCAAAUUAAUUAAUAUAUAAAAAUAAAUAAAUUCUAAAAAUCUCUAUAUAAUUUUCAAUAAAACUCUAUAGGGUCUUCUCGUCUUUUAUUUACAUUUAAGCUUUUUAACUUAAAAAUAAAAUUCUAAAAAAUUUAAAUAGAGACAGUUAUUCCCCCAUCCAACCUUUCAUUCCAGCUUUCAAUUAAAAAACUAAUGAUUAUGCUACCUUUGCACGGUCAAAAUACCGCGGCCAUUUAAUAAAUCUCAUUGGGCAGGCUAGACCUUAAAUUAUUAUCAAAAA